AGAACGUGUCUGAGGAGCGCAUGGUGUCAUCUCCCCACCUUCUAUCCACUAUAGAUGGGCACAUCAUUAGCAUCACGCAACCCAUGAUUGCUAGGGUGUUAGGUCUCUAUAACGAGCGAGAAGGCCAUCCAUUCCCCGAAUUUGUGGAUAAUCAACCCAUACCCCACAUCAUCCAAGAAUUUUUUCUGCGAGCCUAUGGUGAUCCUAAUUUCACGUUCUUGCGCCAAAGCAAGCUACCUGCUCACUUAUUAUUCCUGGUCUUUGGUGUUGUAUAAGAAUACCCUUCCACUUGGGCACAAAGCUAAGCGCCGAAAGGAGUUUAUGCGAGUCUUACAUUGUUACCAGCAUGGUUACCAAGUAAACCUUCAGCACGUGAUUUGGGUGCACAUGCAGAAAUUUAUGCGGGAAGUCAUUCAGCCUCAACCCUUGUCGAACACAACUUGGUCCCUGCCCUUUGCCAACCUGCUCGCGCUCCUCUUCCAGCUGAACAACCUUUCGAUUGAUUCGGCUGAGGAGACCGACCUUGCCUACUCGAUUUUUAGCCAGCAAGAAUGGUAGCACAGCUUAUCCCAGAUACCACUACAGGGCGGUGUACUGAUUGCUGAGGCAGAUGAUUCCAUUCAUGGCCCACCCCCUCCUGCCCUUUUUGUGCCUUCCCAAGGGGAGCCCAUGUACAUGACUCGAGAGAAGUACUUGCAUCUUCAACACUCAGUGGAUCAAGUCCACAGUACUCUUCAGGAUCACCACCAUCUUCUCAUGGGAUUGCGCACGGAUUAUCAGGCGUAUUGGGAUCAUUCACAAGCGACAUUCGACCAAAUCAAUGCCAAACAGCUUAACUAUCAGCAGUCAGUUGCAUCCAUACAAACUGACUUUUAUGCGUAUCGGGAUUUGAGCCAGCAGUGUUUUGACCAGCUCAGCGCUUGGGUUCAUGAUGAAGCAUUCGAGACUCGGACAUUGAUGCACACCUUGUUUGAGUAGCAUUUUCCACUACCGCCACCGCCGUUAGUAAUAGACUAUUUUUUUUCUGUCUUCAUUUAUUUUUAUUUCUCUUUCUCUUAAAAAAAAAAGGGGGGGACGUGUGUGUUGUGUUCGUAUCUGCCUAGCUGGAUGUGCACCUACAAUGUCUGACAUGUCGGCUAGUGAUGACUUUGCUACUAUCCUUAGGUGCCAUCGCACACGUCCCCACAACUCUCAAUUCCAGCAAUAUGAUGACAAGUUCCCAGUGACUCAUCUCUUCCAGACUCAUUUUCCAGAUCGUGCGGGUGAUGCUAGUCACACUUUGGUUUGCCGUCACAAUUUGCCACCUCGCCUCUAGUUGAUUGCUGUCUUUUUCCGGCGGAAUGUCAUCCCUUUGGGGCAUAAGGAGGAGCGUCGCGGUGCUUUUAUUCGGGCUCUUCAUCACUUUGAGUUCGACUUUUGGGUGGAUGUUUCAAAGCUUAUUUGGGAUCAGAUGUACAAAUCAUGACCGAUGUGCAAAUCAAGCAAACCAGGAGCUCUCAAACUUGGCCUCUUCCCUUCGCUAACUUGAUCACUUACCUCUUCCGCCGUUACUCAAGCUUCUGGUUUGAUCUCGAGGAGGUGGCCAUUGAGGAGGUCUUGCAGUACACCGAGCAGACUUGGCUUCACAGUUUGUCUCACAUGCCCCCCUUCGAUGCAGCCUCCUACUGGCCAUGCUAGCACUAAGGGUGUGGGCAAUGAUGUUCCCAUGGCUGAACCUGCCCCUGGCGCUACUGCCCACGCCUCUGCUGAUCCCCUUGCAUCCAUCUUUAUGACUCGUGCUGACUAUGAGGCCCUUCAUUAUGAGCACAUCUGCAUUCAAUAGUUUUUGGAUACCCUUCAGACCGAUUUCUAUGCUUACCGGGACGUCUCAGCAACGCUAUGAUGUCUCUCAGGCAUAUAUGCAGCAGUCCUUCAUUGAUAUGUAGUCCCAUAUCUGCCAGAACGCUUUUGAGACUCUGUCUCUUAUGCGUUCUGUUCUUGCGGAGUACCACCCACCGCUGCCACUGCUGCCUCAAUGACACCCUACUUAUUUCUGCCAUGUUCUUGUCAAGCUAUGGUCUUCCACUGUUGGUCAUGCUCCACUGUUGGGGGUGUUUCUCUCAUCUCUUCUUCCACUUUCGAUGGUUUUGAGUAAAAUUUACAAGGCCGAUUGUGCGUGGGACACAAGAGAAGGAGAAUUACGUCAAACAGUAUAGGUCAAACAUUGUGUCUUUGAUAAAAUGGGAGAACAAGAGUUUAGUGUUCAUCACAUUGUAGCCUUCAAGAAAAUGCCUUUCUGGUUAUUGUUCAGGUCGUUUCGAAAGAAACCAGUGGAGGUGAGGAAAUUUAGGAAGGUAGAUGAUGAUGUUGUCAUGGUCAUCAAGUCUUAUUGGAGUGAUUUGAAGGGAUUCAAAUUAGACCCUAAAGUGGUUGACACACACGAUAGUGAUGUGAGCUUGAUAUUUGGGAUACAACCGGGAAAGAAGAAAAUAGAUAUGUGACAUGUCAUCAUAUGUGAAAAAAUCAGACAUACCUUUUGUGCGGAGAAGAUUCUCUAAUGUACAGAGAAUAUUUGUAAAGAUUCUGAAAUCAGCAUGAGGACGUGCAAUGAGAAGUGAAAGGAGAGUUGAUGUUAGGGACGUUGCUAGGAUUCUGUGUUUGUUUGUUUGUUUGCACGACUUUGCUAUUUGCAACAACCGAUUAAACAAUUGGAUGGAAUUUUAUCAAGUUUGUGGAAGAUUUGGAAAGCAAGACUACAUAUGCAUGGUCCACUAUAAUUAAACAGCAGUGAUUGGGACCUCUAAAUUUGCACCACUAAACUAGCUCUAAUGAGUUGGAAAAAAAAAAAAAAAAAAAAAAAAUGAAAAAAAAAAAAUGAGAACACGAGCAAAACAUCCCAUCACGUGAGACCCAUACCAACAUUAGAGCUAUUAGUGCUCUUGGAUUGGAGGUCUCAGACAUUUCUCAUAAUUAAAUCCACAUUGACAUCCUCAAUUGAGUCUUCUGCAUCCAUCAAAUGUUACUGGAUGUGUUAUUCUACUUUUGCAUUGGAUGUGUGAGCAUACUACUAUUCUGCAACUUGACAAGCAAAAUUUGUCUCGAAGGUUCCUUCGAUGGGACCUAUCAAAGCUCAGGAAGAAGUUCUUGAAGCGAUCAUUAAAGAAACUAAAAGCUGAUGAGGUUAAUGAGGUUGAACUCGAGCCUAUUUUAACAUAAGAGAAUAAGCUCAUCUUGGGUGUUGGAAAGCAAGAUGAAGAGGAUAAUGGAGAAAGUAUAGAGACUGAAGAAGACUGUGAAGCGGAGGAGGAAAAUGAGGAAGAUGAAGCUGAGGAAGACAGUGAUGAUGAAGAAAAUGAUGAUGGAGGUGAGAAGAACGAUGAAGAACAAUCUGAGGAAGUAACUGGGGAGGAGGACAGUGAUGAAAAUGAACCAGCAGAGAACACAAUGAAGCUGCGGAGGAAGCACAAGAGCACGACGAUGAUGUGCGUCGUAAGGAUUUCACUGAAUGUGAGACGAUGGAAAAAAUUCGGAUGGAAAACAAAAAGAUAAAAAAUGAGAUGUGACAAUGGUUGAAGAGAUUAAAGAGAAUGAGGGAAACAAUGGACAAAUACCAAGAACAAGCACAAAAAAUCAACCAAAUGUUGCAAGAGACUGAGGAAAUAAAAAGGGGCAUGAAGCAACUAGAAGAUGAAAAAGAAGAAUUGUUUGAGCAACUACAAGAGGUUACCGUACAUAAUGCAACACAGAAUAUCUUGAAAUCAAUGAGUGGAAUGGCACAUGUUGAGCAGGAGCCACAAGAGAUCACACCUUCUCCGGCUGGAUUGAAAGCAGUUCCUUUAAUGGUCGAGCUUUUGCAAACUUCUAUGGUUCGGAAAAUCAAAAUUAAGGAAAGGAAGAAAAAGGAAAUUUCUGGAUUUGAAUAUGAAGAACAAGGGAGAAAGAAAAGAAGGUAGAUAAAAGAUGUAAGCAAAGAAGCAAGACCUGCAAAUGAAGGGGAGGAACAUAGGCAGAUCAUACCUUUUGUGGGACCAUUGAAGGGAACCACUACAGUACCUGAUCCAGUACCUGCAACAAUAAUGGCAAAGCCAAAAAAACAGCAAAAAAGAAGCUCAAAAAUAAACUGAGAACAAAGACAUGAAUUGCUUGAUGUGGACAAGAUGCCUCUAAGUCAACCAAAACCACAUAACUAGAUUGUCUACUCCACUGAGGCUGCAAGUGUCAAAGUCCUUGACAAACAGGAUGUGCUUCUACUGAAGAAGAUCUACAAAUUGGGAUCAUCAGAGUAAGACAACCUUAAUUUGCUUUAUAAAAUAGAAUUUUAAACAUUUUAAAUUUAAUCAUAUUCUUUUUUUAUUAUCAAUGCAAUUAUAUGGUCCGGGAGGACAGAUGGAAUAUUUGUCACACUGCAUGAUAUCCAUGUAAUUCUCAAGGAUGUUGAUGUUGCAAAUAAUCUCAUUGAUAGUUUUGCAAAAAUACUUGUGAAUGGGCAUGAUGCAAUUCACCCACAUAAGUCAUUGUGCUGGUCACUAGUGAAAUGAAAGUACGGGAAGAUGAGGGAACAUCCACUGGACAGAUACCUGGAGGCAUAUCUCAGCAAGUAUAUGUUUCUAUUCUUUAUAAUGAACUCCAAUUGGAAUGCAAAGGAUGAAGUUCCAUAUCAUUGGACAUUGCUUGUUUUGGACAACCAAGGAUGAAGUUCCAUCUUUUAUUGUUUGUUAUCUCAUGCACCAACUUGCCAAAUAUAAACCUAUUGCAAAAGAGUUGGACGACAACAAAAUGAAUGAUUUUCGAGCAACAUUGGUGCAUGAGUUCUUAAAUGAUCAUCCGAGAUCGUGGACCGAAGAAGACUACAAAAGUAAGAAUGUGAAAAUGAAAGCAUGACAUCGCAAAGGAUGAUGCCAAUGAAACAACAAAUAGAAUUUAGAAAAAACAAUAUAGCUUUUUGAGAAAUAUCUUGGAUGUUGUAAAUGGUGUAAAAGAUGUAAGUAGGGUUUUACUUUUUUUUUUUUUUUUGGUAAAUGAUAUUUUGGAAAGGAUAUUAAAGGAUGAUAUAUAUAUAUAUAAUGGA